AAGCUUGCUUGUUGGGGUUGUAGGACACUCUAUACGGAGUUACAAAGGACGACAUUAGACGAAUCAUCUGGAAAGAUGAAUCAAAGAAGGUAAUAAUCCUGUAGUCGAAAAUGUUGUCUCUCUUGAGUGGAUCCUGAGUACGACGGAGCACGUGAAAUUCCGUCGGAAUCUGGGAGGACCAUCUCCUAAGGCUAAAUACUCUCUAGUGACCGAUAGUGAACCAGUACCGUGAGGGAAAGGUGAAAAGCACCCCGGAAGGGGAGUGAAAUAGAACCUGAAACCGUGUGCUUACAAGUAGUCAGAGCCCGUUAAUGGGUGAUGGCGUGCCUUUUGUAGAAUGAACCGGCGAGUUACGAUUUGAUGCAAGGUUAAGCAGUAAAUGUGGAGCCGUAGCGAAAGCGAGUCUGAAUAGGGCGUUUAGUAUUUGGUCGUAGACCCGAAACCAGGUGAUCUACCCUUGGUCAGGUUGAAGUUCAGGUAACACUGAAUGGAGGACCGAACCGACUUACGUUGAAAAGUGAGCGGAUGAACUGAGGGUAGCGGAGAAAUUCCAAUCGAACCUGGAGAUAGCUGGUUCUCUCCGAAAUAGCUUUAGGGCUAGCCUCAAGUGAUGAUUAUUGGAGGUAGAGCACUGUUUGGACGAGGGGCCCCUCUCGGGUUACCGAAUUCAGACAAACUCCGAAUGCCAAUUAAUUUAACUUGGGAGUCAGAACAUGGGUGAUAAGGUCCGUGUUCGAAAGGGAAACAGCCCAGACCACCAGCUAAGGUCCCAAAAUAUAUGUUAAGUGGAAAAGGAUGUGGCGUUGCCCAGACAACUAGGAUGUUGGCUUAGAAGCAGCCAUCAUUUAAAGAGUGCGUAAUAGCUCACUAGUCGAGUGACACUGCGCCGAAAAUGUACCGGGGCUAAACAUAUUACCGAAGCUGUGGAUUGUCCUUUGGACAAUGGUAGGAGAGCGUUCUAAGGGCGUUGAAGCAUGAUCGUAAGGACAUGUGGAGCGCUUAGAAGUGAGAAUGCCGGUGUGAGUAGCGAAAGACGGGUGAGAAUCCCGUCCACCGAUUGACUAAGGUUUCCAGAGGAAGGCUCGUCCGCUCUGGGUUAGUCGGGUCCUAAGCUGAGGCCGACAGGCGUAGGCGAUGGAUAACAGGUUGAUAUUCCUGUACCACCUAUAAUCGUUUUAAUCGAUGGGGGGACGCAGUAGGAUAGGCGAAGCGUGCGAUUGGAUUGCACGUCUAAGCAGUAAGGCUGAGUAUUAGGCAAAUCCGGUACUCGUUAAGGCUGAGCUGUGAUGGGGAGAAGACAUUGUGUCUUCGAGUCGUUGAUUUCACACUGCCGAGAAAAGCCUCUAGAUAGAAAAUAGGUGCCCGUACCGCAAACCGACACAGGUAGUCAAGAUGAGAAUUCUAAGGUGAGCGAGCGAACUCUCGUUAAGG
rnacentral:rRNA from 1 species